CCCCAAUAUCAUCUCUGUGGUUUUCUUCUCUGGUGAUCUCCAUUCAAGCUCGAUCAGCUCAAAAACAGCACCAGAUUCCACCAUCAUUAUCCGAUUUCCUCCCCAACCCCAAGGACAAGCAGUCAACAGCACUUUUAAAGCAGCAUUUAUUCCUUGUUGAGUGAUUUUCUCUCUUAUAACACCAACAACCCUGUCAAAAAAUUCAGGAUUUAGCCUUUCUAAUACUCUAGAGCUCGCUUCCUCAAACAGCAUCUUCAGUACAGAAGCUGCAUGAGAUUUAACAAUAACAUGAUUAUCGAUAUUGCACCCUAAAACCCAUG
rnacentral:misc_RNA from 1 species